UACGUAGGGUGCGAGCGUUGUCCGGAAUUAUUGGGCGUAAAGAGCUUGUAGGCGGUUUGUCGCGUCUGCUGUGAAAAUCCGGGGCUCAACCCCGGACUUGCAGUGGGUACGGGCAGACUAGAGUGUGGUAGGGGAGACUGGAAUUCCUGGUGUAGCGGUGAAAUGCGCAGAUAUCAGGAGGAACACCGGUGGCGAAGGCGGGUCUCUGGGCCGAUAACUGACGC
rnacentral:rRNA from 1 species